ACUGGGAAUGGUUCCUCAACGAUGAGAGGAUUUCUGGCGACGACACUUAUCAGAUCUCAGGCACCGGCGACCUGAUUGUGCGACGGCUGAGUGCACAGGGUCGCACACGGUACACGUGCAGGGUGACCAGCACGCGGUUCUCUGCCCUCAGUGACACUGUAUUAACUGAAAUGGUGACUAUGUAAUGACCAUCGAAUCGCACUUGAAGAUGACGCUGAAGACCCGCUUCGAAGCUGACCUCUCUGAAUUACUCCCGUGUAUUAUGACUGAUGAUGUACCUUCAUCAUUACUUUAUCAGAUUAGUUGUGUGAUUGAAUUUGCUCUGGAAAUCCAAGGCUCUUAGAGAGAAAGCAUUAGAGGAACACUUAGAUUAACUUUUCCUUUAUUUCCCACUGUAAUUAGCAGGAGGAAAUCAGGUAAUGUCUUUCUCUCUCAGGAAGAUUAAUGUUUAUAUAUUGAUAGCAGCUGCUACGCAUAUGAGAUUUACAUCGUGACACGUG